CAGCAGGCGACCUCAUCCUCAGCCGUGCUCAGGAGGCUGCGGAAUUUGGCGAGCUGCAAUCAAGAGAGACAUAAGGAAGAAUGGAACUAUAUUUUUCUAUAGCAAUGUCACCACUUCUUACAUAUGGAAAAUGAUGAAUACUGAGGAAAUCUCCCAAAAUAUGUGACAGAAAAAUACAGCCAUGACUGCUAAUCCAUCUGACUGACGAGCUGCCUCAACAAAACUGGAAUAUUUUUCUGCGUUCCAGUGGACCACAU